GACAGUGUCAGACCUCAGAGCUGAGACCUGAGACCGGACUGGCCUGGCCGGGAGCCCACCGCCUGCUUACCGAGAGCCCCGAGGACAUCUCACGAGAAAUCAUCUCGGCCGGACGUGAGGGGCGCGUUCCACGUGAGACUCACGUGUCGUUGGUGAAGAUGUAGGCGAUCACGUCCUUCGUAGUUGCGAUGAUGACGGCUACUAUCACCGAGACCGCAACUGCGAGGAAAGGACAGCGGUCAGGGGCUGGGACCCUACUGCAUUCCCGAACUGAAGGGGUGAAGACUUGGGCAAGAUCAGAGAAAUUGCUCUCCGGGUCCUUUUGCACCAGAGCGUGCUAAAAGUAAGUAAAGAGGCCGUUAUCGUCAAUGGGCUUGAUCUUGGUUCCACGUUCAGAGUUUGACAAAACAGGUCUGUUAAUAGUUAAAUUG